rnacentral:pre_miRNA from 1 species
AGUAGAAUUUCUGGGACACGUAGUAAUUUUAAUUUUUUGUGAAGCUAUUUGGCUUUUCCAAAGUGGUUGCUCUAUUUUACAUUUCUAUCAGAAAU